rnacentral:rRNA from 1 species
CCUACGGGUGGCAGCAGUGAGGAAUAUUGGUCAAUGGACGAGAGUCUGAACCAGCCAAGUAGCGUGAAGGAUGACUGCCCUAUGGGUUGUAAACUUCUUUUAUAUGGGAAUAAAAUGUUCCACGUGUGGGAUUUUGUAUGUACCAUAUGAAUAAGGAUCGGCUAACUCCGUGCCAGCAGCCGCGGUAAUACGGAGGAUCCGAGCGUUAUCCGGAUUUAUUGGGUUUAAAGGGAGCGUAGGUGGAUUGUUAAGUCAGUUGUGAAAGUUUGCGGCUCAACCGUAAAAUUGCAGUUGAAACUGGUUUUCUUGAGUGAGUGAGAAGUAUGCGGAAUGCGUGGUGUAGCGGUGAAAUGCAUAGAUAUCACGAAGAACUCCGAUUGCGAAGGCAGUUCACUGGACUGCAACUGACACUGAGGCUCGAAAGUGUGGGUAUCAAACAGGAUUAGAUACCCGUGUAGUC